CUAUGACAGAUUUUGACUACUGGAUUCGACAGGAUGCGACCACGAAGGACGAGCGUCGCUCCCUUCGUUUCUCCCUAUUUGACCCUUGUACAUAGUUACCCGACUUGUGUCUUAGUGUACAUAGUUAGUAGUUUUAAGUUGUAUAUAGCUCUAGUUUGUAAGUUGUACAUAGUAUUAGUUUUUAAGUGUCUUUUCAUGGCUUUCGACAUCACACCUUUAACAUCUUUGACUGUGACCUAACCGAUUUUGGGCGUCGACAUACUACCGAGAUACCGUGGACAGACUUUUUCCAUUUCCCGAGGAUGUCCCACUGAUUUGACAUUGGAUUUGACUGGAGUAGACAGCCAGUCGGGCGUGGCUUCGACUGGCUUUUUUUCUUCUUCCCCGGACGUGACAACCCCAGAUUUUG
rnacentral:lncRNA from 1 species